rnacentral:rRNA from 1 species
GUGCCAGCAGCCGCGGUAAUACGUAGGGUGCGAGCGUUAAUCGGAAUUACUGGGCGUAAAGCGUGCGCAGGUGGUCUCGCAAGUCGAGUGUGAAAGCCCCGGGCUUAACCUGGGAAUUGCGCUCGAAACUACGGGACUGGAGUGUGGCAGAGGGAGGUGGAAUUCCACGUGUAGCGGUGAAAUGCGUAGAGAUGUGGAGGAACACCGAUGGCGAAGGCAGCCUCCUGGGCCAACACUGACACUCAGGCACGAAAGCGUGGGGAGCAAACAGGAUUAGAAACCCCCGUAGUCC